rnacentral:lncRNA from 1 species
CUUGCAGCACAGCUGCCACCACUGCCACCACCUUGAGUCAGGAGAACCAAGCCCAGGCUGGGGUGUUGGAAGUCUGGGGAUUCCAGCCUCAGUCACUAUGGACAGUUUUUUCUUCAUCUGUAGCUCUCUGGCCACACCCACUCCUUUACAUUCAAGGUAGAGGAAGAAGAUAAUAUGAAGCAUGUGCUGGCAUUAAUUAUGCUCUGCUUCACCAAGGGAGCUAACAAUGAGUGUAAUGUGAUAGAAGGUGUAACCUGGAACUGUGACCACCAGGAGAUUACAGUCCCUCUGGCAAACCUCAAGUUAUCCUGUCAACCCAAGUUAC